rnacentral:rRNA from 1 species
AAAGGAAGACGUCGAUGAAGAAACAACAUAGAUGUUAAAACAACUGAUAAAAGUUACUUCAUCACGCGUUUUAAAGUAGCCAACACGAAAGAGGGAAGGAUAAGUAGAGUAUUGAGUGCCAAAGAAAUCUUAGCGGCGGACGGGUGAGUAACACGUGGGCAACCUGCCUUGAAGUGGGGGAUAACACCGGGAAAUCGGUGCUAAUACCGCAUAACAUACACAAACUGCAUGGUAAGUGUAUCAAAGGAGCAAUCCGCUUUAAGAUGGGCCCGCGGCUGAUUAGCUAGUUGGUAAGGUAACGGCUUACCAAGGCGACGAUCAGUAGCCGACCUGAGAGGGUGACCGGCCACACUGGAACUGAGACACGGUCCAGACUCCUACGGGAGGCAGCAGUGGGGAAUAUUGCGCAAUGGGGGGAACCCUGACGCAGCAACGCCGCGUGGAGGAAGAAGGUCUUCGGAUUGUAAACUCCUGUCUUCUGGGACGAAUAAUGACGGUACCAGAGGAGGAAGCCACGGCUAACUACGUG